AAGACUGUGCUUCACAGGAUCAUUUCUGUAGGCUAGUUUUCACUACAAGUUUUUUCCAACAGGAAAAGAUUUCCCACCCACGAUGAUGAGGCAUAGUGACUAACCUGGAGCGUGAAAAUCGGUCUGGUUGUGCUAAGUCAGUAAUGACUUAGCCGCAGACUAUUGAUGAUCGUGCUCUUUCGCAAUGGUUGGUCGCGGUCUGAGUGGU